rnacentral:rRNA from 1 species
UGGGGAAUCUUGCACAAUGGGGGCAACCCUGAUCCAGCGACGCCGCGUGUGUGAAGAAGGCCUUCGGGUUGUAAACCGCUUUUGUCAGGGAAGAAACGCGCUGAGCUAAUACCUCGGCGUAAUGACGGUACCUGAAGAAUAAGCACCGGCUAACUACGU